AUUCAUUCAUUCAUUCAUUUAUUUAUGUAAGUAAGUAAACCCUAUACCCAACAUGGGGCUUGAACUCACCGACUGUGAGAUCAAGAGUCGCAUGCUCUACUGACUGAGCCAGGCAGGCAACCCCUCUAAACUUUUUUGAUGGUGUAUCCAUAGUGGUAAAAAUCUUGUGCCUCCCCCAUAAGUCUUUGUAUUUACUUUUAAACCAUACACCUGCACUACUGCAUGAAUGUAGUAUGUACAUUAAAACUAUGCACAAAACAGAAUUAAAAGGAUGCUUUUAAAAAAUGAAAUAUACAAUAUUUGGAAAAUAUUUUUAUUUUAUUUAUUAAGAGUAAAAAAAGUCCUAACUUCUCUCAGUAAAGAAAGAUUAUUGUUUCCUUUAUUGAAAACAAUGCAAUUCAAUACGUUUCAAUAUUUUGAAAAUGUUGGUUUAACACAUUAUUUGGGGCCACAGAAUCACAUAGUGAUAAAUAUUUCUCAAGAUCGAUUCUUAAAUUUCUCUCUUCAUAGCAUGAAUUUCUUUUAAAGAGGCAGCCAGGGCCUCAUUCAUCACUUUAAAAACUUACUUUUAACUCAACGAGACCCAUUAGGCAUGUUUGUUUCUUUCACAAUAUCAGCUAGGUAGGCGCUGUGACCAUCAGGGGUCAGUCACCAAGAGAAAACCCACUGCAGGCUGUUCAAGCAAACAGGAACUGAGUGCAGGGCACUGGGAUGCUUGCGGCACUAUGGGAAGGACUGCCGGAGUUUGGGGAAGUUGCCACUAAUGUUCAGCAGUUCUAAGCAGUCACUAGAAGGUCGCUGCCGUCACCCAGGUCAGAAGAAUGCAGGGCGCCCCCUUUGCUCAUCAGAGCCGAGCCGAGUACUGACGCGCCGGCUGACAGGUCACCUAGAGGCUGGGGCGGAGCUUCGGGUCUCCCGGGACCUACCCACUUUGCAAGGUGCUGCCAGAGAAAAAAAUAACACCACUUUCUCCUCCCACCUACAAAAAUCUCACAUGAAUACCCUGGCAGAAAGAAAUGACAUCCAGAACCUGGAAGGCAAAGGAGUUUGGGAGAUGUAGUUCCCCUAAGUCCAGUCCCUGUGACACAGAGAGAGCAUGACACAGAGGGAUAUGGGAAUGAGUGCGGGCUGUCAAAAAACAGACUGCAGACCUCACGGGCAGCACACUCCUGAUACCCUCCUGUCGUCACAGAAAAGGAGAGCAAUUGAGAAACACUUCUGUAAACGAAAAAUAGCCAUUUUUAAGUUUGGCAACUCUGGUAGAUACUUUGCAGCAAGAGAAUCACUCGGUCUCUUUGUGGUGUACGGGAUUUUCAUGACUACUCUGCAUUACGUAAUAGUUUCUUCCAUGUAAAGGUAUUACUUUUCAUCAAAUUAACCUAACUGAUGACAUCCUGUAGCAUAUCAGCUCAGUACGUUAUAAUACUCAGGAGCAAAUGUGGCUGUUAACGGGCGAGCUGACCCGUAGAUGCAGGCAGAGAGAGCCGCGAUGUAUCCCUCUCAACCCCUGCUGCUUGCGGACCUCCUGGCCGAAGGCUUUCUUUCCAGCAUGAGAUCGGCGGCAGUUCACGCAGCUCUUCCAAGAGAAAAACAGGACAACUGGCGGUUUUUCUUUGGUUUGGAAAAAAUAAAAAUAAAAGUCCAGCCUGUAAAACAUUAAAACCCCAGACUUUACCCAAUAAGACUCCUCACUGACAAGGUGAGACUGCCGUCGGCUGGAAAAUGAGCCUCGAGGGCUGGAGGACCUGGCCAACCUCUCCAUCCCCCGAUCGGCUGGUCACCUCUUCAAAGGCAACCUGUUCCUGGAACAAGCCAGACUUGUAUAAAAAGAAAGUAACUUUGCUUUCUCGUGAAUGCCCGGACAAACCUGAGGUCAUGGUUUGGUCUCCCGUGAGCCUGGAUGAAAUUUACAGCUUUUCCAGUCUCUGCAAAGUAACAAACAGGCCGAAGAGUUGUCAUCAUCAUCAUUUCAGAAAUAGUCUCUUGUUCUGGCUAUCAACAAGUCUCAUCGAGUGAUCGACCAAAACUUCAAAUGUCAGUUAAUUUUAAAACUUCUUCCCUUCCCCGGCCCGGAAAUCUGAGGGAGAACGGGGGUCACGGUCAGCGUCAUUUUGAUUUCUCACACAGGACCUCUUCCCACUCGUGGCUGUUCCGGGCCUGCUCUCGUGUGGCCGCAGGGGAAGGAGAGGGGGUGUUCCCUUUGGCUGGACUCCUUCUUGAAAUGGCCAAACCUGCCUCCCUCUCUCAAGAAGCACAGCAAGCCUUCGGGAACCCAGGAACUUGGGGCGUGCAAGCCAUUUGGAGCACAGUCUUCUCUCCUCUUCUGUCUUCUCAAGGACCUAGCCACCGACAGUUUGUCUUCAGACUUUAGGAAGAAGUCAGACACCAGUCCCUUUGUCCUUGAAACUCCGCAAGCUGUACCAAACUCCCCAGGUGGUCCUCUUGAAGCGCCCCCUCAUUUGGCAUGAAGCAAAGAGGGAGCACCCCCCACCCUCCCCUGCUUGGGGAGAAGGGGAAACGUCCAGCAUACAGACAGCUACUUCCAAAGAAAUCCUCUCACAUUCUCUUCCAUAGCCUGAGGUGGGUGCCGAGCUAAUCCUUCCCAGUAUUGAGCUAGUGCUUCCCGGGGUCCAUUUCACAACCUCUUAGGGUGGGUGCAUAGGUGAUCUGGCUCCUCCUCCCUUUAGAAUGUGGACAGAUUGGCGCCUAUGGUUUUGUUCUCAGCCUUUGGGGUUUCUGGUGAAACUGACACAGAAAGAGUCCCGUUUUAGUAAAUGAAGUCACCACUGUCAACCCCUCCUCCUUAUGGAACUCCUGUUCUUACAUCAGGACACCUGAUGCGCUGUAGGUGAUAUGCAAGAGUCUGACUUAUGAAAUGGACUGUGAAUGUACAGUUCAUAUAGAAGUAAGUACUAAGUAGCAUAUAUAUUAUAAUUUCAUAUUCAAUAUUAAUGUUUGCAUACUAUA